rnacentral:rRNA from 1 species
CCAGACUCCUACGGGAGGCAGCAGUGGGGAAUAUUGCACAAUGGGCGCAAGCCUGAUGCAGCCAUGCCGCGUGUAUGAAGAAGGCCUUCGGGUUGUAAAGUACUUUCAGUCGGGAGGAAGGUGGUAAGGUUAAUAACCUUAUCAAUUGACGUUACCGACAGAAGAAGCACCGGCUAACUCCGUGCUAGCAGCCGCGGUAAUACGGAGGGUGCAAGCGUUAAUCGGAAUUACUGGGCGUAAAGCGCACGCAGGCGGUCUGUCAAGUCGGAUGUGAAAUCCCCGGGCUCAACCUGGGAACUGCAUUCGAAACUGGCAGGCUGGAGUCUUGUAGAGGGGGGUAGAAUUCCAGGUGUAGCGGUGAAAUGCGUAGAGAUCUGGAGGAAUACCGGUGGCGAAGGCGGCCCCCUGGACAAAGACUGACGCUCAGGUGCGAAAGCGUGGGGAGCAAACAGGAUUAGAUACCCCGGUAACA